GUCAUCAAUAUGGUCGUUGGUGGUGAAGUGGUAACUCUCAAAAGCAUUGAAGAAAGCAGUGGUAUUGGCAUACAAGAGAUGCCCAUGCAGAUUCUUGAUAUUUUGUGAGCAUUUGUCUUUAGCAUUGCGAGAAGACAGCUGACGGUAUGAUACUUUUUGCUCCACUGGAAGGUUUAAAAACUUAAGCGCUAUCUUUGGAAGCUUUUGUGAGUUGUUGGUAAUGCAUGAAGGAUACGAUCAUCAACUUGUACAAUAUUUUUAUACUAUUUCACAAUAGCCUUUAAUUGUGGGUAUCUGUAUUUCUUGGUUGCUGAAUAUUUUUUCCCAAGAACAAGAGUAAAUUUUGCCCAAGAACAAGAGUAAAUUUGGACCACUAUUCACAUAUCUUAUCCUAAUUUUAGGAUAAUUAGAUUAGAGAAUAGUUAUGGAUCUUUGUUUGAUAUGGAGUCUAAUGUGAAUCACAUAUUUCACCA